UGAGCAAUCUGCCCUUCUCUUCGGAAUAAGCGUUGGAAACGACGUCUAAUGCCGAAUACGACCUCCUUUCGCAUGAUCGGAGGUGGAAAGCUCCGGCGGAGAAGGAUGAGCUCGCGGCCUAUCAGCUAGUUGGUGAGGUAACGGCUCACCAAGGCGACGACGGGUAGCUGGUCUGAGAGGAUGGCCAGCCACAUUGGAACUGAGACACGGUCCAGACUCUACGGGAG
rnacentral:rRNA from 1 species